CUGAGAAGUGACCUGUGUCAGUUCCAGACCAAAGCAGUUUCAGAAAAGGACAUUAUUGAACACAUUGAUGGAAUUCUGGAUUUCUGGUCCUAUGUUGAACAAAAGUGGUGAGAGUGGACAUCUUUGUCUUAUUCCAGACCUUAGGGGAAAGCUAUUCUUCACCAGUUCUUCACCAUUGAGUAUGAUGUUCACUGAGUUUUUCACAGACAGCCGUUAUUGUUGAGGUUACCUAUCUAGUUAAUACUGGUUAUGAUUGAGGUCUUAGAGAAAUGAUUGGCAUAAGAAAGAACCGAUGAAGGGUGCUGUUUUAGAAAAAAUAAGGAUUCAGGAUGAGUACAUGGAGGUGGAGCUCAGUUCAUUGUGUUUGAAGUCGGGACAACCUCUUCAUGUGAUUAUCACAUAGUUGAAUGAGGCCACAGUCAUAGGAUCAACCUCCAUGUAAAGGUAGGAAACCCAAUAAACCAGAUUGAAUAAGCAGAAGGCAGUGGGGAAGAAGAUCCGUGCAUAUGAGUCCAUUUUGGCGAUACGAAUAUGUAUCCUCCCAUGUCUCCAAGCUCCUGUUCGGCAAUCUUCAAAACAGCAGAAGAAACUGGCACAGUCCUUGCCAUCCAGACACUCAUACCCAUAUUCUUCAUCUCUCUCUUGAAGGUGAAAAAAACUUGAACACAGAAUGAAUAAGGAGUCUGUCCAAGAUAGAAAGUGAAAAAGAUGAGAUACAAGCCUACAAAGUCUGACUUAAAUGCCUACGUUUCUGACCCACACUGUUAUAUUCCCUCUCUAUGAAUAUGUACCUAAUAUGCAGCAUGAAGCACCAGCCACUUGGAAGCUAGUGUAUUUUCCUGAUUCAGCAUAAUAAGGACUGUGGGUCUUCCAUAUUGUCAUUGUAGAACCUUAGCAAUGGUCAAGUUUCUCACCUACAAACUGGGAGUGGUGUGGGGAGGGGCAUACCUCAGCAGGUUCUUAUGAAGAUUAAAAUAUGUAAUGUUCAUUAAGUAUCAUUUCCUAGUAAAAUAUCAAUAAAUGUAAGAUAUUUAGAGAAGAACAGUCUGUUUCUUGAACUAAAAAAACUUCACUCAAGUUGUCCAUGCAAUAAUUCAUGAACAGUUAUAACUAUUUGUAAUUAUACUUGAUAAUAUUUUGGGGGGAGAAUUUAAAAACUAAACUGGCCCUUGGCCUUCACUUCACAUUCAGGCCUCAAACCACACUUGACCUAUGGAGGAGUGAAAAUGUCAUCAUUUACGGUAGAUACCAUAGACAAGUUUACUUAAGAAAAUCUGACAUAUCUAACAUGUAACUUAAACAUUUAUCUAGCAAGUUGGGACGAUGGAAGUUCAUCACAGCCGUGUAAAAGAAAACUCAUGAAAAACCGCUUCAUGGUAUUUUCAGGUUUCUGGUUGGAGCCGCAGGGAGUGAAAAGUGGGUGGCAGACAAGUGAUAGUUAUAACUGAUCCACCCACCAACAACAUGAUAGCUGGGGGUGGUUUUUAAGUCCAGUUUUGCUAAGGAAAGAAUUAGACUUACCUGGGGUAGAUGAAAAAUAUGCAUAGGUUUUAUCAAUUCCUCCAGUCUUAGCAUCAAGUAAGCUUUCAGGCAUGCUAGCUUUUACUCAGAUUACUCAGGUGAAAAAUACCAACUGGUGUUUUUAUUGUUUCAUCCAUCAACAUUGAACCAUGAUUAAAGCUUAUCAGCUACCACCUGUGUGCCAAACUACAUUCAAGCGUUAGAAGCCCCACGAUGACUGCUUCCCAUGCUCUUGUGGUCUGAGCUCAGAAAGCAAAGUCUGAGCCAUAUAGGUAUAUUUAUUUCACUCAUCUAACAACUUGGCUUUAUUCUGUGACAAGAAACUUUAGGUCCACAGGUGUUUAGGGUCAUC